CAAGAAGUCUCAUCCAGUCUUGCUUGCAGUUGGCCUCUUCUAGAAGCAGAGAGAAAAAUACGGCACAGAAUGCUCAAUCUGUAAGUGUUCUGACUUGAAAUAUGUUUCUAAAUCUCCUGGAAGGAACAGGAAAGUUUGAGACUAGAAAGGAUGACUGUGAUAGUUUACUGUUAACUGUAUUCUAUAAAUGUAGGCUUAACAUUUCUGUGCUGUCUCACCACGUCCCAAAUCUCCCUAACGUUAUCAUAACGUUAUUUCUGCAUUUGUACCAUAUGUGAAAUCAGAAGUAGAAAAAUCCCUUUAGAGUGAGGAUAAAACCUCAGACUGUGGGAGUGGAUGUACAAUAACCUUAGCUCUGACUGCGAUGUUACAUAUGCACCAGUAAAGCGUGUGUGGCUGUUUGAGCAAGAUGUGUGACUGGAAGUGCCAGACUCCACUCUUCCCAACAAACCAUGGCUGCCUGCUCAGCCAGCGGGUAUUGUCACGACAGGAUUCUGCAGGAUAAUCAAGGCUCAUUUCAGUGUAACUUCUGGAAGGUUCCAUGUCAUCAGCCACAUAUGCUUGUUGCCUGAUGCUCACAUAUGCCAACACAUAAAAUGCCAAUGCUGUAAUCCUGUAACAUUUGAAAGCUUUUAUUUUCUAUAGCUACUGCAGGCUGGCAAGAUAACACUGUGGCAGGAAACAGGAGAGUAUCAGGCGCUGAUCUAAGCAGAGGAAGAGGGACUGGAGGAAGGAAUGAUAGAACUAACGGAAAUGGUCUCAGGACAUCCUGUGGAUUAGAACUGCUGCCGCUACCACACUGCAGCCUCACUGCAUGGUGCUGUACAUCUCUGUUCCACACCGUUCCAUUCAGAGUGUCCGUGGACACUGGACCCAAUGCACUGGUGUCAGAGGAGCGACAGACCUGAGUGUUGGCCACUGGUUUGUGGCGCUGCCUCUGCUGAAGGAAUGGGAAUGUCCAUGCCGAGGUUUAAGGGAAUGUCCAUGUGGACACAUCCAGUAUGGAUGAGAAACUGAACUGUGGCUCCUCAGACUGAGGUAGGAGUCCGGCUCACCAGUAACCGUGGCAACCAGGCUGUCAUUGGGAGCCUCAAGACCUCACAUGCUAAAACAUAAAAAACCCCAAACUCACCGCAGCAUCCGUUAGCACUCUGACACGUUCGAGAUCUGUCCCUCAGUUUUGCUGUACGCAGAUGUUGACAGCUGUGGCUGUCACUUGUACGUAGGAGUGUUCUUCCCUGCUCUGUCUGCUCCAUCAGCAGCAGAAAUUGUUCCUGGUGGCAGAUGUUCUGGUGGCUUCCAAUUAAAAGGGGAUAUUUGAAUUUCAAGUGGGAGAAACACUGUGAAGGCAGUUUUGUAUUCACCUGAAGAAGUGUCACCUAUGGCCCCCUUCCAAGCCCAGGGCAGUCACAUCAGUAUUUACAGCAUUCAGCUGUGUUUGCACUCGAGAACCAUUAAUGCAGCAUACCAGCCCUGGUGACAAGUUACAUUCUGUUGCUGUCAGCAAACAAAGAUGUUGUUUCUUUGUCUGCAAACUCCUCUUUCCUUUUAUAUCAACCAUUAGGUUUGAGUUCUGCAGGAGGUGUUUUUCCAGUGUUUUCUGGAAGCUGCCAGAGAGGUGAUGGAGUGAACUCCUGGGAGCUUGUGGAAGACACUGGUUAAUAUUUCCCUAUGGGAUUAAAUAAAGGGGUCGGGGUAGGUUCUUUGCUUGGGAUGGAAUUAAUCCAUUUGCUAAACCAAUUCCCCUCUUUGGGAGGGGAGAGUCUCUGAAAUAAAUACUUAAUUUUAAACCCACUUCAGAACAUUGAUCACUGCCCCGUGGUUCUGAUUUAAACGCAUUUGUGCUUUCUACUAGUGUAAAGGGACAGGGAACAGAUCCACGUAGUAACACUCCUUAACCUCCUGUCACCGUAUCGCAUUACGUGGUGUAGACAUUUCAUGCAUCAGCUGUCACUGCCUUGGUUGGGUGUCUU